GAGAGUAGGCGUUGGCGGUUGCAGACCAGUUAGUUUAACUGAUUUGAGGAAAGUCCGGACUCCCGAAAGACCAGACUUGCUGGAUAACUUCCAGUGCGAGCGAUCGUGAGGAUAGUGCCACAGAAAAAUACCGCCAAAACAAGUUAAAAGUAAAAAGUGAAAAGGCAAAAGAAACAUUUCUUUCUUUUUAAUUUUGCCUUUUAUCUUUUGCCUUUUUUGGUAAGGGUGCAAAGGUGCGGUAAGAGCGCACCAGCAGUAUCGAGAGGUACUGGCUCGGUAAACCCCGGUUGGGAGCAAGGCCGAAGGAACUAUGGUUGGUCUUUUACCAGUUCCGUUAUCAGAGAGCCGCUAGAGGCGUUUGGUAACAAACGUCCCAGAUAGAUAAUCGCCCUCCUGUAAAGCAAUUUACACAGAGAACAGAACCCGGCUUACUACCAACUCUCUCCU
rnacentral:RNase_P_RNA from 1 species